AUGGAUAAAGCACCGUAUUCUGAUUGCACCCCCGCUGCGUUGGCAAACUUCGAUAAGUUCAUGGGACGGCAGAUGUUGCAAGUGAAUGCUCUCCUGGUGGAGAAAACCAUCCUGAUGGGAAUCAUGGUCGGGAUAGGCGCCUACGGCCAUCGCUACCGUCACCAUCCAUUGACCCGCUACCUCUUCCUCGGUGCCACCAUAUUGUUCUUGCCCAUCAUCUCCUAUAUUGCCUCUGUCACUGAUGUUCAGUAUAUCGUCGUUGUUCUGGCUCCUUAUAAUAUCAUAGCCACAGGGAAUUGUGAUCCAAGUAUUCAUCCCGGCCUGGUCUUAGUAUGGAUUUCCUUUGUUAUGAUUGUUGGCAUCAAUACAACCACAAUAGUUGCCGCCCAUGCUAGAGAAGGUCGAAGCAUUGCGCCCCCUGCAGUACUGAUGGUGCAAGCAAUAUGGACUACCUACCUUGGGGUCAACAUCAUGCAAGGUCCAAAUCGAAGUUUGUCAUCCCUAGAAGAUAUAAAACAAUAUGUCACCUUGGCGUCUGUUCUUGCCAUUUUUGCACCAUUUGCUCUUAUCAUUGCCAAAAUAUUUGUCAAGUAUUAUGCAUGGUACGGUGCAAGACAAUCCUUUGCGUUUGGACACAAUCCUCGUCUUAUUGUUGGAUUCAUGGAGCAGCUACCAGAUAGAAGUCAGCAUGCCGAGGAAGUCAUUGAAAAUAUGCUGCCUCCUCUUAUAGUCACAGGAGAGGACACAUUGUUGGUAGAGAAGAACCCUCAUGGUUACACUUUUAGUGGAGGUGAUGGGACAGGGAUGAACAACAAUGGCUUAGUGACCAUUCACAAAGUCUGGGAGUCAGAUGACAUCUUUCACAAGUCAACGGCACAACUCAAGGAUCUAUGUUUUUCAUUUGCAUUGUUCAAGCUGCUAAGGUGUCGUUUCGCAAAAGACACCGCCACUGAAACUGUCUUCAUGAAGGCCCGCAACUUCUUAUGGCAUCUGCUGGCCGAGGAUAGGGAUGGUGGAUGGGUACUUGGGUUGAUUGCAUAUGAGCUUUCCUUUCUACAUGACUAUUAUUAUUCCUCCCUUCCAACCUCAUACUCCAAGAGUUGGCUGCCCAUCUUGAGCAUUGGUUAUUGUUUAUUGGCCGCAAUUAUUCUGAAGUAA
rnacentral:rRNA from 1 species